CAGUUAUAGGUCUCUUAACGACAGAGAUACUUUCUGAGAAAUGCAUUGUGAGGUGAUUUUGUCAUUCUGCAAACAUCAUAAAGUGUCCUUACACAAACCUAGGCUAUAUGCUAGAGCCUGUUGGUCCUAGGCUGCAAGCCUGUACUGCAUGUUACUGUACUGAGUGCUGUAGGCAAUUGUAACACUAUGGAUCAUAGCUAUGGUGGAAUGGGACAUGCCUGACAGCUGGAGUCCUCAAGGGCAUGGAUGAGGCCUGUUCCUGUUUUAAUUGCCUCUGUCAACUUGAAAAGCAAAGUUGCCCAUUGUUUUACCUCACAAUGAGUUUACUUGGGAAUAGCCGAAAGAAUUGCAAUUCUGGACGUGCAUGCUGUGGCGAACCAUACGCAAACCUGGAGAAGAAAGGAGGGGGGCUGCUAUUAUAGAGAAAAAGGGGGAGUAGGGAAGGACUGUUCUAAAUGAAAGUCCAUUGGGGAAAAUAACAUUUCAAGCAGGUAACGGCUUCUCAUUGGCUGAGCUGUGGCAUUUCUCAGUGGCCAGGCUGUUGCUGGGUGGGGAGAGAAAUCUGCCUUCAGUAGUAAUGUAGUAUUACCUCCUGUCCAAGAUGCAAGCAUUAGUCUUUUCCUGUUUAGUGUAAUUGAGAAUAUAUGAUAGGGGAUGAGAGCUCACCCUACAGGCCUUCUC
rnacentral:lncRNA from 1 species